rnacentral:lncRNA from 1 species
CACGAGGUAGAGGAUCACUGAGGCAGCAUACAGUUGGAGAGGAAGCUUUGGGAUUCACUUGGAUGCUCUUCUUCUCUCACUUUUGCUUUGAAUGGCCCUUUUGUGCUUUUGGGAGGUUUCUUUUGAAAUCUCUUUGAAAUCUCUUCCCUAAAUGUUCUCUCCCACUUCCAUACCUUCUCCCCUUGCUCUCCCCUUGAUUUUAUAGCUUUAGAGGGAGUGGAAACAAAAAUCUAG